UAAUUUUUUGGCACUGACAUUCAACUUGACGUGAGCUGCACUUAUUUUAAGAGAUGCAUCUCAGUUGCAGUUUUUGCGUCGUAUUGUAAGGUACUAAAUGUACUAACUACGAUACGCAACGAGAAAAAUUCAAAUCGCUUUGUCAUAGAGCUACUAAUUAUUUCCAAAAAGACCUGAUUGAUCAUGGGAAAAGAUAAAGGAAAGGGUGGCGCGAUAGGUGGAGGUAAUCCAAAUCACGCAACACAAGAGAAAAGUAAAGGUGGCAAAGGAUCGAAUAAUAAAGCUGGUGGAAAUUCUAAAGGCGGUAACAAUAAAAACAGUGGUGGUGGAGGUGGUGGAAAGAAAGGUGGGAAAAAGUGACCAAGUGAUGUGCUAGUCGGUUAGAAGUAAUUUAACGUAAGAAACAGCAGAGUCACUGAACUAAUAAAACAUUUCAAUUGAAGGUCGUAAGAUUUCAUACCUUUUAAUUAAGCUAACUUCGAACUAAACUAGCUGCGUAAGUUGUAACCUCAACGUCAUAUCUCGAUUGUAUAUUUUUUAAAUAAAAUGGAAUUCAAAAUGAUU